GCCACCAUAGUUUCAGUGGUAGAACGCCCCCUCGGUACGGGGGAUGUCGGGGGUCCGAUUCCUCCUGGUGGCACCA
rnacentral:tRNA from 1 species